rnacentral:lncRNA from 10 species
ACUUCAGAGUUUCAGCAAGUAAGGCAACUGCAAGACCCUCAUUCUGCCGGGAAGCUUCUGAUUAGGGCCCUAAACCACCAUCCUUUUCACAUCUGCAAGGACACUAGAGGCAACACCCAGGGUCACUCUGAGAGGGCCUGAACCUGCUUUAUUAACAGGAUCGAGGGUCAGGACCGAAGUAAGUCGUGAUGCAGGAAAUGAGUGCGUUUCACAGCUUGCUGAGCCCCUACUCGACCCAGGAAGCCCAGCUGGCCCCUCCUCUCAACAGGAGUGAGAAUCAGGAAGCCUCUGAUUAGGGCCCGGAACCAACUUCCUUUUCGCAUCUGCAGACUCAUGGAGGCAACCACUCAAGGCCACUCUGAGAAGGGUUGAACGUGCUUUAAAUUAAAAGGACUGAGGAUCAUGUGUGUUGGUGUGUCCUGGACUCUGCUCUAAGUUCAAUUCACCAAAAGAUGCCAAAUGUAAAUAACAACAAAUGAGGAG